ensembl:lncRNA
CACACAAACGCACGCACGCAUGCACACACACACUCGCACACACGCACGCAUGCACACACACACACGCACACAUGCACACACACACACACACUCGCACACUCACACACACACUCGCACGCACACGUGGAGCAUGAACCAAUUAGACUACAAUAUCCAUGGAUGUAGCCUAAUAUUUUAUCAUAAUGCUUCAUCAGACACUGUGUCUAUGGCCCCAAAUACUGUACCACCUUUUCAGACCAUUAACAGUAUUGACAGUACUGCACUGUAUAGAUGCAGGCCCUUGUAAUUGCUUGUCCAAUUCUGCCAACUCGUUACUGAUGAUUGCGUGAACAUUGUAGAAUGAGUAUAUAGUGAAGAGUUGAUUGGGAUCCAGUGGCAAGAGCAUAGUGAUACAUAACAUGGAGCCAGCAGGUGAUGAAGGUUAAGCAGUGGUGGGAGGAAGACGAGGAAGACGUGUUGGUCAAAGGAAUGGCAGGGGACAGGCACCACUUCUGAGAGGUGGUCGUGGGCCUCGUUUGAGAGGUGUGGGGGAACAUGGUACAGGACAAGGCCAUGGAACAAGACAGCGGCAGCAACAGCAUAGAGUAUCCAAUGAAACUCGAGCAAUAGUUGUAGACCAUGUCAUAAAUCAUGGCAUGACAAUGACUGAGGCGGCUACAAUGAUACAACCAAACCUCAGAAGGUCAACCGUGGCCUCAAUAAUCAGAACUUUCCACAAUGAGAACCGAAUUGUGACCAGGCCAAAUAGUGGAGGCAGAGGCUUAAUUCUAACUGACCAACAAGAGCAGGCUGUGGUCGAUUUGGUUCGGGCCAGAAAUGAUAUUCGCCUUACAGAAAUUCGCCAGUAUAUCUUGGACAAUGAAGACAUGUUCAGCAAUGUGGGAGCCAUAAGUUUGCCGACUAUUGCACGCAUACUGAAAAGGCACCAGGUAUCUAUAAAACAACUAUACCGUGUGCCUUUCGAAAGAAAUGCAGACAGAGUGAAGCAAAUGAGGACUGAGUAUGUUCAGAGGGUGAUGGAGCUGGAUGCUGAUGAUGACCAUCACAAAUUCAUAUAUUUGGAUGAGGCAGGUUUUAAUCUGGCCAAGACAAGGAGGAGAGGUCGGAAUUUCAUUGGCCAGCGGGCAACCAUCCAAGUACCUGGACAACGUGGGGCCAACAUUACCAUGUGUGCGGCUAUAUCAGAAGAUGGUGUGCUGGGACGCAGACCUCAUAUUGGACCAUAUAAUGCAGCUCUCCUUGUCACCUCUCUUGAGGAGCUCGAUCAGGUUUGUAGAGCUGAAGGUGUGACCUAUGUCACUGUGUGGGACAAUGUCAGGUUCCAUCGUGCUCAUGUGGUGCAAGCAUGGUUUCAGGCCCAUGCACAACUUACCACCCUGUAUUUACCCCCAUACUCUCCCUUCCUUAACCCGAUUGAGGAAUUUUUCUCCGCAUGGAGAUGGAAGGUUCAUGAUAGGCAGGUUUUAGAAGGUUUUAUCCAAGAUGUUUGGCUAAUGAAAACAUCCAUUGUGAUGUAGAUGAGAACCUGUGGCCAAAUCCACAACACAGAGUUGAUGACAAUAUAGAAGUUCAGUAAUCACUCCUGUUUUGUUUCUUACAGUACAAGCAAACAAGUUAAGGAACACUGCAUUUGAUGUUUUACAGUACUGUCUUUUCUUUUCUAUUUCAUAGCUAAUUAUUUUUGCUUUGAUUCAAAUAAACCUAUGCUGUGAUUGUACUGUAGUGUUUUGCAUCAAUAUAUUACAAACUUUGUUCAAUGAUUCCACUGUGUCUGUAGUAUUCUCUCUACUACUGCAGUACUUUUACAGAGAUAAUGAAACCUGUAUCACCUAUUUUGUUCUACAAUAUUUAUGAUUGUACGAACAAUGACACAGUGAAACUAUCGGUUGCUUAUGUGUGGGUGAUCUAUAGUUAUGUUUCAAUGGCAUUUCACAGUAAAUUUGUGUUUUGAACCAAUGAUUGUGCAAGAUUUCUUUAAAGAUGUGAAUGCACAAUGCAAUGUUUUGAACAUUAGACAGCCUGUGUUACAAGUGAUAACCGUUUUGUGUCUUGAGUUUUGAAAAAUUACAUCAAGGUUCUGAAAAUAGUCGCAAAGUGAUUGUAAAAUACAUCAGUGGAAAUCCAUGAUGUUCACUGGACUGCUGGAGGAAGGCUGAGGCUGUCGAUGACAGAUUGCUGUGUGCUGCACCUACUGUAUUUCAUCUAGAGAAAAUAUAAACAUGAUAUAAAUGUUUUUUUU